CAGCCGCCGCGGUAAUACAGAGGGUGCGAGCGUUAAUCGGAUUUACUGGGCGUAAAGCGCACGUAGGCGGCUUGGUAAGUUAGAGGUGAAAGCCCGGAGCUCAACUCCGGAAUUGCCUUUAAGACUGCCGAGCUAGCAGGUGAGAGAGGUAAGUGGAAUUCCGAGUGUAGAGGUGAAAUUCGUAGAUAUUCGGAAGAACACCAGUGGCGAAGGCGGCUUACUGGCUCAUACUGGACGCUGAGGUGCGAAAGCGUGGGGAGCAAACAGGAUUAGAUACCCCCGUAGUCCCUGUCUCUUAUAC
rnacentral:rRNA from 1 species